rnacentral:rRNA from 1 species
UCGUGGGCUCGGAGAAGUUAUAUUAAGGAAUUCGGCAAAUUAAUCCUUCGCCUGUUUAACAAAAACAUGUCUUUUUGAUAAAUAAUUUAAAGUUUGACCUGCUCACUGAUAAAUUUAAAGAGCCGCGGUAUAUUGACCGUGCAAAGGUAGCAUAAUCAUUAGUCUUUUAAUUGAAGGCUGGAAUGAAUGGUUUGACGAGGGGAUGACUGUCUUGGUUUAAAUUAAUAAAAUUUAACUUUUAAGUUAAAAGGCUUAAAUAUUCUUUUAGGACGAAAAGACCCUAUAGAUCUUGAUAAAUUAAUUAAAAUUAAUUUGAUGAUAAUUUAUUUUAAUAAUUAUUUAGUUUAUUUUGUUGGGGUGACAUAAAGAAUUAAUAAACUCUUUAUAUAAUAAAUCAUUGAUUUAUGUUUAUUUGAUCCAUAAUUUUUGAUUAUAAGAUUAAGUUACCUUAGGGAUAACAGCGUAAUUAUUUUUGAGAGCUCUUAUCAAUAAAAUAGAUUGCGACCUCGAUGUUGGAUUAAGAUAAGUAUUAAGUGUAUCAGCUUGAUAACUAGGUCUGUUCGACCUUUAAAUUCUUACAUGAUCUGAGUUCAGACCGGCGUGAGCCAGGUCGGUUUCUAUCCUAAAUUAUUUAUUUUGUAUUAGUACGAAAGGACCAUAUAAUUGAAAUAUUUUUUUAUGUAUGAUUACAAAUAAUAAU